rnacentral:lncRNA from 1 species
UCUGAAAUGGGAGAUUGGCAGGACUUGCUUUCUGGUCAUAACCCUGAUGACCAAAGAAGCAUUAUGGACCUGUCUGCUCCAGGCAGGAUAUCUUCUAAGAGCUGCACAGUCACUGCCCCGCCCUCACACCCAUCAUCAGUCAGACAUGAAACAAAGGAAAUCCUCCCAGUCCUAGGCUAAACCCCAUCAGAGAAGUUAAAUGCUUAAUCUGUUAGCCCAGCAAGUUAUAAAGAUAUUUGUAGUAUUCUUUGAUGGCAGUUUGUAUUUCUGUGGGAUCGGUGGUGAUAUCCCCUUUAUCAUUUUUU